UUUCACACUCAAAGCAAAUUGGGGAAAGAAACAUCCACAAGUUGUCGUGUACUCCUGUAUGCUCGUAUCAGAUCUGUCAUACAUAUACAAAACCUUCAUCACAGGAAAAAUUCCUUCCAAGGACGGAUAGAACAAGAGUUGAUUGUCUCUUCCCAUUGGCCUCAUUUUAAAUAAAAAAGGCCGAGCAUUUAAACCUUAAAUGUUGCUGCCCUGAAUGUCUCAAGAAAUAACACCCAGCCCAGAAACUGGUUCCUGGAGCAUAGGUAAGUUUAGAAGUUCGGCGAUGGAUUUUUAUUAUUGUCAAAUUCGUGCACGUUUUUUUUUCAUUUUGUAAUACUUGAAAACUUUUUGCUAUGCAUGUAGCUUUUUGGCAGCAAGAACUACAUAUUAUCACAAAGAAAUGUAAAAUAGGCGGGGAAAUACUGUAGCUAAGAGCACUAUGUAUUGCCAUAACGGUUUUUUUUUUGGGUCCUUCAGCAUUUUUUA